AGUGAACGCUGGCGGUAGGCCUAACACAUGCAAGUCGAACGGCAGCACAGGAGAGCUUUCUCUCUGGGUGGCGAGUGGCGGACGGGUGAGGAAUACAUCGGAAUCUACUCUGUCGUGGGGGAUAACGUAGGGAAACUUACGCUAAUACCGCAUACGACCUACGGGUGAAAGCAUGGGACCUUCGGGCCUUGCGCGAUUGAAUGAGCCGAUGUCGGAUUAGCUAGUUGGCGGGGUAAAGGCCCACCAAGGCGACGAUCCGUAGCUGGUCUGAGAGGAUGAUCAGCCACACUGGAACUGAGAAACGGUCCAGACUCCUACGGGAGGCAGCAGUGGGGAAUAUUGGACAAUGGGCGCAAGCCUGAUCCAGCCAUACCGCGUGGGUGAAGAAGGCCUUCGGGUUGUAAGGCCCUUUUGUUGGGAAAGAAAUCCAGCUGGCUAAUACCCGGUUGGGAUGACGGUACCCAAAGAAUAAGCACCGGCUAACUUCGUGCCAGCCGCCGCGGUAA
rnacentral:rRNA from 1 species